GCCAGGUGUCUAGCAAUUGUAUUCUAUUUUAGUUCCAGGUUUGAAGAUUCAGACAAGUGAAACAUGCCAGAUUCUACUUCAGUUUCCAAACCAUUUGAACGACUGCCUACAAGUGUACUUCCAGUUCACUACAAUAUCAAUUUCAGACCUGAUUUGCAGAAACUUGUGUUUGAAGGUCAUGAAACCAUUAAAGUUGAGGUAAAGAAUGAGACAUCUGUGGUGGUUUUAAAUGUUUUGGAGCUCCAAGUGAAGCUGGCUCGCUUCACUAGAGAAGAUAAAUUAGAACAAAAUGCUACAAAUAUUAAAGUAUCUCAAGAUGAUGAAAGAGUGAUACUGACCUUUGAUCAGCCUUUGACUGUUGGUAAGGGUGAAUUGUAUUUGGAGUUUUCUGGAGUUCUUAAUGAGAAGAUGAAGGGGUUUUAUCGCAGCAAAUACACAACCCCUGAAGGUGAAAUACGUCAUGCAGCAUUGACCCAGUUUGCGCCAACUGAUGCUAGACGUGCGUUUCCGUGCUGGGAUGAACCUGCUUUGAAAGCAACCUUUGAUAUUUCACUCAUAGCUGCGAAAGAUCUCGUUACUCUUUCAAACAUGAACAUUGUUAGCAGUAAACCUGUAGCCACAAAUCCUGAACUGAAAGAAGUACAGUUUGCAACCUCUCCAGUUAUGUCUACAUAUCUAGUGGCUGUAGUGGUGGGCGAGUUUGAUUAUGUGGAGAAACAGUCUGGUGAUGGAGUACAAGUGAGAGUAUACACGCCGGUUGGGAAACAGGAGCAGGGAAGAUUUGCUCUGGAAGUUGCUUGCAAAGCUGUAUCUUUCUACAAGCAGUACUUCAACAUAGCUUACCCAUUACCGAAAAUGGAUUUGAUAGCUAUAUCAGAAUUGUCUCCUGGUGCCAUGGAAAACUGGGGGUUAGUCACCUAUCGUGAAACGUGUCUUCUUGUUGACCCACAGAAUACCUCGGCAGACAGCAAACAACGGAUUGCACUCAUAGUUGGCCACGAGCUUGCUCAUCAGUGGUUUGGUAAUCUAGUAACCAUGGAAUGGUGGACUCAUCUUUGGUUGAAUGAAGGUUUUGCAUCAUUUAUUGAGUUCCUGUGUGUCAACCACCUGUUUCCUGAAUAUGAAAUUUGGACUCAGUUUGUGACUGAUGUCUAUACUCGUGCUCUGGAGCUUGAUGCUUUGCACAACAGUCAUCCAAUUGAGGUUCCUAUUGGCCGGCCAUCAGAAAUUGAUGAGAUCUUUGAUGAUAUUUCGUACAACAAGGGGGCCUCAGUCAUUAGGAUGCUACAUCAAUUUUUAGGAGAUGAGGUUUUUAGUAAAGGGAUGAACACGUACCUCACAAGACACAUGUACAAAAAUGCUCAAACUGAAGACCUGUGGCAGGCUUUAGAAGAUGUUAGUCAAAAGCCAGUUGGUGCCAUUAUGAGCUCAUGGACAAAACAGAAAGGUUUUCCCGUGAUAUCGGUGUCAUGCAGGCAAGAUGGAAAAAAUAAGAUUCUUUUUUUGAGUCAAGAAAAGUUCUGUGCUGAUGGAAAUGCUGAGGGGGAUAACCUGAGAUGGCUUGUACCCAUUAACAUUACAACAGCGAGGUCACCACAACAGAUAGUGAAGCAGGUACUACUAGAAGCUUCAUCUAUGGAAGUUCUGAUUGAGAAUGUAGAACCCAACGAGUGGGUCAAGAUAAACCCUGGAACUGUGGGUUACUAUCGCACUCUGUACACACCAGACAUUCUUGCUCAGCUUCAGCCUGCUGUUGAAGAUCAAACUCUGCCUCCAUUAGACAGACUUGGAUUGCAAAAUGAUUUUUUUGCCUUGGUUCAAGCAGGACGUGCAUCAACAACUGAAGUAUUGAAACUUAUGGAGGCUUUUAUCAGUGAAACCAGCUAUACCGUUUGGUGUUCCAUUAAUGCUUGCUUGGCCAAGUUAAACAUGCUACUAUCCCACACAGAUUUUCAUCCUCUGUUUACAACUUAUGGCCAACAGCUGCUUGCCAAAAUUCAUGCAAAACUUGGCUGGGAACCUAUAAAAGGAGAACAUCACUUGGACACUUUGUUACGGAGCUUAGUAAUUGGACGACUCGCUGCUUUUGAUGAAGAAUCUGUUGUGAAUGAAGCUAAGAAAAGAUUUGAAGCACAUGCUAAUGGAACCAGUAUUCUACCUGCAGAUUUAAGAAGUGCUGUUUACAGGGCAGCAGCGAGAAACGGUGAUGACUGAACAUUUGAAACUAUGUUGAAAGUGAGUAGUAAAUCCUGUUCAUAAACAUUAUCAAGGAUAGCAGUGAGAAACAGUGAUGACCGAACAUUUGAAACUAUGUUGUAGUUAUACAGAGAAGCAGAUUUGCACGAAGAGAAAGACCGAAUAUCAAGAGCCCUUGGAGCAGUACAGGAUGAAGCAAGUAUCAGAAGAGUUCUGGAGUUUGCUAUUUCUGUAGGUUCUUGUUC
rnacentral:misc_RNA from 1 species